UCGUACAGGUUUCCGUAGGUGAACCUGCGGAAGGAUCAUUAAAGAGUAAGGGUGCUCAGCGCCCGACCUCCAACCCUUUGUUGUUAAAACUACCUUGUUGCUUUGGCGGGACCGCUCGGUCUCGAGCCGCUGGGGAUUCGUCCCAGGCGAGCGCCCGCCAGAGUUAAACCAAACUCUUGUUAAUUAAACCGGUCGUCUGAGUUAAAAUUUUGAAUAAAUCAAAACUUUCAACAACGGAUCUCUUGGUUCUCGCAUCGAUGAAGAACGCAGCGAAAUGCGAUAAGUAAUGUGAAUUGCAGAAUUCAGUGAAUCAUCGAAUCUUUGAACGCACAUUGCGCCCCUUGGUAUUCCGAGGGGCAUGCCUGUUCGAGCGUCAUUACACCACUCAAGCUAUGCUUGGUAUUGGGUGCCGUCCUUAGUUGGGCGCGCCUUAAAGACCUCGGCGAGGCCUCACCGGCUUUAGGCGUAGUAGAAUUUAUUCGAACGUCUGUCAAAGGAGAGGACUUCUGCCGACUGAAACCUUUAUUUUUCUAGGUUGACCUCGGAUCAGGUAGGGAUACCCGCUGAACUUAAGCAUAUCA
rnacentral:rRNA from 1 species